GAAAAACAAUCACUCAUUACUUUCCUUUUCCCUCGUCAGGCACUGUAACAGAAGCCAAUCAGAAAACAAAUGGACAUGCAUUGACAGAGGCACAAGUGCAAAAACAUAUGAGAAAAGCAAAAACAAACCACAUAAUUAGUUCAACUGGACUUUAAAAAAUCUGAUAUGCAUCAAUUCAGACUAGCAUGCUUAAAACAAAGCAUACAAGCAUGCCACAUUCAGAGCCACAGCCAGAAAACAAAAGCAUCUCCACUUCUGUUUAUUUGCAAAAGUUGUAAUUGAUAAAGAUAACAUAAUAAAACUUCAAUGGUGGCAGCCACAAGAACUGUCAAAGAUGCAUGAAUUUCAACCAGUGACCGAAAACAUGUGAUGUUAAAUAAUGAGGACAUGUUCCCAACAAUACUACAUAUAAUAGAUCUAAAAGCCUGAAAGUGUAUUAUGAUUAUUGCCUGCAUUUAUUUUGGUAAGCUACAAGCAUUUUCAGUAAAUUAUCCGCAUAAUUUUGGGCCAUUCUGACUAACCCCUCAGAAGGGCUUAGUCAUGUCAAUAAUCCCUCAAAAGAUAGGAAGACAGAAGAAAUAAACAAGUUAAACAACUACUAGUUAUGCCUUCCUGUUCUCAGACAGGCAAUAUGGAGUAAAUCAAUGAGGAUCAAUCAAUAUUACCAACUUCGGUUAGUGAAGGGAAUGCCUACAAAUAGGCAUAUGCAGAACUGUCAAUUCAGAAUAAUUAGUAGCAAAGUGACUACCAAAUAGGGAAGAUAAGAGAUUGAUGAAUUACACAAAGAUGCAUGUAGAAAUCCAGUAUACUCUAAAUUAAAAUAAAAGAUAGAAGAUAUUGCAAAAUAAGGUAACAAGCCAAAGAGAAAAUA
rnacentral:misc_RNA from 1 species